GACGAACGCUGGCGGCGUGCUUAACACAUGCAAGUCGAACGGAAAGGCCCUGCUUUUGUGGGGUGCUCGAGUGGCGAACGGGUGAGUAACACGUGAGUAACCUGCCCUUGACUUUGGGAUAACUUCAGGAAACUGGGGCUAAUACCGGAUAGGAGCUCCUGCUGCAUGGUGGGGGUUGGAAAGUUUCGGCGGUUGGGGAUGGACUCGCGGCUUAUCAGCUUGUUGGUGGGGUAGUGGCUUACCAAGGCUUUGACGGGUAGCCGGCCUGAGAGGGUGACCGGCAACAUUGGGACUGAGAUACGGCCCAGACUGCUACGGGAGGCAGCAGUGGGGAAUAUUGCACAAUGGGCGGAAGCCUGAUGCAGCAACGCCGCGUGCGGGAUGACGGCCUUCGGGUUGUAAACCGCUUUCGCCUGUGACGAAGCGUGAGUGGCGGUAAUGGGUAAAGAAGCACCGGCUAACUACGUG
rnacentral:rRNA from 1 species